rnacentral:rRNA from 1 species
AGUGAACGCUGGCGGUAGGCCUAACACAUGCAAGUCGAACGGCAGCACAGUAAGAGCUUGCUCUUACGGGUGGCGAGUGGCGGACGGGUGAGGAAUACAUCUGAAUCUACUUUUUCGUGGGGGAUAACGUAGGGAAACUUACGCUAAUACCGCAUACGACCUACGGGUGAAAGCAGGGGAUCUUCGGACCUUGCGCGAUUGAAUGAGCCGAUGUCGGAUUAGCUAGUUGGCGGGGUAAAGGCCCACCAAGGCGACGAUCCGUAGCUGGUCUGAGAGGAUGAUCAGCCACACUGGAACUGAGACACGGUCCAGACUCCUACGGGAGGCAGCAGUGGGGAAUAUUGGACAAUGGGCGCAAGCCUGAUCCAGCCAUACCGCGUGGGUGAAGAAGGCCUUCGGGUUGUAAAGCCCUUUUGUUGGGAAAGAAAAGCAGCAGGUUAAUACCCCGCUGUUCUGACGGUACCUAAAGAAUAAGCACCGGCUAACUUCGUG